GGUUAGGGUUAGGGUUGGAGUUAGGGUUAGUGUUGGAGCUAGGGUUAGGGUUGGGCUUGGAGCUAGGAUUUUUCUGAGUGCAAUGAACCAACUCCCGAGUCUCUAGGACGUUCCUAAAAAAAUUUGAUUUUUUCCCAUAGGAAUGCAUGGGUUAGGGUUAGGGUUAGGGUUGGAGCUAGGGUUAGGGUUAGGGUUAGGGUUGGAGUUAGGGUUAGUGUUGGAGCUAGGGUUAGGGUUGGGCUUGGAGCUAGGAUUUUUCUGAGUGCAAUGAACCAACUCCCGAGUCUCUAGGACGUUCCUAAAAAAUUGAUUUUUUCCCAUAGGAAUGCAUGGGUUAGGGUUAGGGUUAGGGUUGGAGCUAGGGUUAGGGUUAGGGUUAGGGUUGGAGUUAGGGUUAGUGUUGGAGCUAGGGUUAGGGUUGGGCUUGGAGCUAGGAUUUUUCUGAGUGCAAUGAACCAACUCCCGAGUCUCUAGGACGUUCCUAAAAAAAUUUGAUUUUUUCCCAUAGGAAUGCAUGGGUUAGGGUUAGGGUUAGGGUUGGAGCUAGGGUUAGGGUUAGGGUUAGGGUUGGAGUUAGGGUUAGUGUUGGAGCUAGGGUUAGGGUUGGGCUUGGAGCUAGGAUUUUUCUGAGUGCAAUGAACCAACUCCCGAGUCUCUAGGACGUUCCUAAAAAAAUUUGAUUUUUUCCCAUAGGAAUGCAUGGGUUAGGGUUAGGGUUAGGGUUGGAGCUAGGGUUAGGGUUAGGGUUAGGGUUGGAGUUAGGGUUAGUGUUGGAGCUAGGGUUAGGGUUGGGCUUGGAGCUAGGAUUUUUCUGAGUGCAAUGAACCAACUCCCGAGUCUCUAGGACGUUCCUAAAAAAAUUUGAUUUUUUCCCAUAGGAAUGCAUGGGUUAGGGUUAGGGUUAGGGUUGGAGUUAGGGUUGGAGCUAGGGUUAGGGUUAGGGUUAGGGUUGGAGUUAGGGUUAGUGUUGGAGCUAGGGUUAGGGUUGGGCUUGGAGCUAGGAUUUUUCUGAGUGCAAUGAACCAACUCCC